UUAGGUAGCCGAACAUGCUACAAGUCUGCCGUCUAGUCGAUUAUUGUUGAAACAAAAUCGGCCGGUCAACAGAUAAGUAGUCAUUCACCUUAUCCCAUCUCUUCACCUCCGCAUACGUUUCGAUCUUCUUCUUUUCUUUCUUCCUGGCCGGUGAGGCGCUUCUGUAACCGAGCUGAUCUAGCGUCUCAGGAACUACUAUCAAACGAUCGAUCAGCCACAAGCAACUAUGAUAGAUUGAUCUUGAUUCAUCUACUCUUUGUUAAGAAUCUGUUAUUAACGCAUUACUGAAGGCAACUGUUGGGACGAUUCAGAUGGCACAUGGUCAACCUGUCCUUUCAUCAUCCCACCUACCCAUAUCUGAAUUAGCUAAGCGGCAUCUAUUUGAACCGCGAACUGAUGUGCUCGCUAAUCCCGUCCUUGUCAAUUCGACGGUAGUAGAGGGAGUACUCGAUCCUUCAUCACGAGGGUGGCAUUCCGAGCAUUCCUUUGAAGCUUUGUCUUACGAUCCACAAGCACCAUUGGCGCGAGAUGAUCUAAAGUGUACCCUGGGGAUGAGAAUGUCAUCCAAAGGCUUGGGCUGGGAAGAAGACUCUAUACAAUAUGUCAAGUACCCUCAGGGCUACACUGGAUGGGGUGUACAGAUUUUGAACCAAUUUUCUUUUAAUUUGAAAGGGAUCGAGGAAAAUACUGAUUACAUUUGUGGAGCUAUAUACUGCUCCCUUUGUGAUUAUACCAUUUGUCCUGCCUUGCUGAGGUCCCUGUUGGAAAAGUGGAGUCCUCAGACCAACACCUUUUUAUUCAAUUGUGGCGAAAGGACGAUCACUUUACUCGACAUGUUUCUAAUGGCAGGGCUCCCUGUAGCGGGAGAUCCUUACGAAGAAUUCAUUCAUCCACUCCGUAAACUGAACCCUUCUUUACUUUUGUUCCCGAAUUUUUUGUUUGACCUCCUUGAUGAAUGGGACACACUCUCUACUCAGUCUGAAGGCAAUUUAGUAACCUUCCAAGCCUGGUGUGACCAUUUCUACAACAACCAAGCAGACCCUCCAUCUUUUACCUCACUCCGGGCAGAACGCAAGUACACAGCAGCCUACAUCGCCCUUUGGCUGUGCUCUCAUGUGGUCGUAGGUGUGGGUCCAUAUAUUCGCCCCGGCUGUCUUGUCAUGGCCUCCUGGAUUGCAGUAGGGCGUAAAAUUUCAUUGGCCCCGCCGGUGCUUUCCUCUUUAUAUUUUUCUCUUCGUCGUAUCAGCCGCCAUCCUGUUGGUCCCUCUUAUGGCAGAACACCUUGGCCAGUUCAUUAUAUUAUAGGAUGGGUGAAUCUUUAUUUAAAAAAAGUUUUUAAAGGCAAACUUAGCGGGGGCCGUCUUCCAUCUCCCAAGAAGCUACAUAUGCAACCGGCUAUGAUAAAUACCAUGCUUCGUCCUCCGAAUGUUUUCUCAUCUGAGGCUGCACAUGAUUUUCUAGCGCAUCACAAGAACAUUGUUUUGUGCCCCUAUGCUUCACGCAAUCUGACCGGAGCGGACCAGUUACACAGAUCCUACAUGAUUUCUGUUCGUCGAGGUAUGCUGCCUUGGAGAUUCUCAUUUCAGGGUGUUGACAAGUGUGUUGCCGAACCAUAUCACCCCGACCGUGUGGCCUUCCAAUUUAAGCUAGACCAACUGGUACCAUACAAUCCAUUGAAAUCCUUGUUCACCGAAACUGGUCUCAGGUGAAUUAUAUCGCAUCCAUUGAGGCCAAAGAAAAAGAGAUUGUGGAUCAUUGGAAUCCUAUCUUAGCCAUGUUUCUUUCAGAUGAUGAACCUAAAACAUCUCAAAAGAAGAAGCGGGGGCGUAAAGAUAUGGACACAAAUUCCUC